rnacentral:other from 1 species
CACACCCUGCGCGGUUCGAUUUGUUGCGGCUUUAUAUGAUCCUACUAAUCAAAUUUAGGGAGCCCGGCCGUCUUCUGCCGGAACGCAGACCUCCCGCCCCCGCCCAUCUGGCGCGGGAAGCGGAGGAAGGGAGCGCGAACGCAGAAGCAGGGCACCCACCUGCUCAAGCCAGUAGGUUUUGAUUGGUCGCAGACGGCUGUGCGGGGUAUCU